GCGAAAGUGGCGAAAUUGGUAGACGCACCAGAUUUAGGUUCUGGCGCCGCAAGGCGUGUGGGUUCGAGUCCCUCCUUUCGCACCA
rnacentral:tRNA from 1 species